CCUACGGGAGGCUGCAGUGAGGAAUAUUGGUCAAUGGCCGCAGGGCUGAACCAGCCAAGUCGCGUGGGGGAUGACGGUCCUAUGGAUUGUAAACCUCUUUUGUCAGGGCGCAAAGGGCGCCACGUGUGGCGCUUUGCGAGUACCUGAAGAAAAAGCAUCGGCUAACUCCGUGCCAGCAGCCGCGGUAAUACGGCGGAGGCGAUGGUUCUCCGGAUUUAUUGGGUUUAAGGGGUGCGCAGGCGGAAUGUCAAGUCAGCGGUAAAAUUUCGGGGCUCAACCCCGUCGUGCCGUUGAAACUGGCGUUCUUGAGUGAGCGAGAAGUAUGCGGAAUGCGUGGUGUAGCGGUGAAAUGCAUAGAUAUCACGCAGAACUCCGAUUGCGAAGGCAGCAUACCGGCGCUCAACUGACGCUCAUGCACGAAAGCGUGGGUAUCGAACAGGAUUAGAUACCCGGGUAGUC
rnacentral:rRNA from 1 species